rnacentral:rRNA from 1 species
UAAGACUAGGGAUAACUUCGGGAAACCGGAGCUAAUACCGGAUAAUAUAUUGAACCGCAUGGUUCAAUAGUGAAAGACGGUUUUGCUUGUCACUUAUAGAUGGAUCCGCGCUGCAUUAGCUAGUUGGUAAGGUAACGGCUUACCAAGGCAACGAUGCGUAGCCGACCUGAGAGGGUGAUCGGCCACACUGGAACUGAGACACGGUCCAGACUCCUACGGGAGGCAGCAGGC